GGAUUAGAUACCCUGGUAGUCCACGCCGUAAACGAUGUCUACUAGCAGCUCGCCUCGUUAGAGGGGUUUUGCGCAGCUAACGCGUUAAGUAGACCGCCUGGGGAGUACGGCCGCAAGGUUAAAACUCAAAUGAAUUGACGGGGGCCCGCACAAGCGGUGGAGCAUGUGGUUUAAUUCGAUGCAACGCGAAGAACCUUACCAUCCCUUGACAUCCAGAGAAUUUUCUAGAGAUAGAUUAGUGCCUUCGGGAACUCUGAGACAGGUGCUGCAUGGCUGUCGUCAGCUCGUGCCG
rnacentral:rRNA from 1 species